GCAGGAAGUGCAUGAAGUGCACAUUGGCUUUGCAAACCCGGCAUAUCAUGUUGUGCUGUCCUUAUCCAAACUCCACAGAGUCCAUCAUGUGACAUCAUACAGUGGGAGAUGAACACUCUGAAGAAAAGCUACAGGACCCGCUGUUACCUCGAAUUUGUCUGGAGAGAAAGGUAAUUGACUGAAGUAGAGAGAAAUGUACAAACGGAAGCCUACCUAUUUUCUUUUAUGGCUGCUUCCAUUGGCUAGUUAGCCUCAAGAGACUGAUCACGUGCCUGUGAAGUUCUAACAUCUGCCUUUCUAAAGACUGCUUUCUUCUAGCCACCUUUCUUCCUCACUUUGCCCUGUCUUCUUGCUAACUGUAU
rnacentral:lncRNA from 1 species